rnacentral:rRNA from 1 species
GCUAAUACCGCAUACGACCUACGGGCGAAAGCAGGGGACCUUCGGGCCUUGCGCUAUUAGAUGAGCCUAGGUCGGAUUAGCUAGUUGGUGGGGUAAUGGCUCACCAAGGCGACGAUCCGUAGCUGGUCUGAGAGGAUGAUCAGCCACACUGGAACUGAGACACGGCCCAGACUCCUACGGGAGGCAGCAGUGGGGAAUAUUGGACAAUGGGCGAAAGCCUGAUCCAGCCAUGCCGCGUGUGUGAAGAAGGCCUUCGGGUUGUAAAGCACUUUUAGUAG